GGGUAUAGCUCAGUAGUAGAGCAUAUGCUUAACGUGCACACUGUCCUGGGUUCAAUCCCCAGUACCUCCA
rnacentral:tRNA from 1 species